rnacentral:rRNA from 1 species
CGACUGUAUGAAGUCGGAAUCGCUAGUAAUCCCGGAUCAGCAUGCCGGGGUGAAUACGUUCCCGGGCCUUGUACACACCGCCCGUCACACCACGAAAGCUGGUUCUACCCGAAGUCGCCGAGCUAACCCUCGGGAGGCAGGCGCCGACGGUAGGGCUGGUGAUUGGGGUGAAGUCGUAACAAGGUAGCCGUAGGGGAACCUGCGGCUGGAUCACCUCCUUUAA